UUCUUUAUUGUUUCCAGAGUUCCACUACUGACAUCCAGAAGAGGAACAGCAUACGGCAUAAGCUGGUGUCCCUCACAUUAAAGAAAAAAUCAAAGAUCACAGAGGAGGUGACCAGACGGCUGACCGACAACGUUUAUAGUCUGCAGGGAAACAGCAUGCUGGAAGACCGGCCCACCUCCAAUUUAGAAAAGCUCCACUUUAUCAUUGGCAAUGGCAUAUUACGCUCUGCUCUCAGAGAUGAGAUCUACUGUCAAAUCUGUAAACAGCUGAGCCAGAAUACAUCCAAAAGCAGCCAUGCCCGUGGCUGGAUCCUGCUGUCCCUCUGUGUGGGCUGCUUUGCUCCUUCCGAAAAAUUC